UGUGUACUCCCUCCGUUCCAAAAUACUUGACUUCCAUUUGUCCAAAAAUGGAUGUACCUAUAUACUAAAACAUGUCUAGAUACAUAUAUAUUUAAACAAAUAGAAGGCAUGUAUUGUGCAACAGAGGGAGUAUAAU
rfam:Triticum aestivum genome assembly, contig: Triticum_aestivum_CS42_TGACv1_scaffold_327959_4BS